rnacentral:rRNA from 1 species
UACAGAGUUAUCAUAAACUCCCAAAACCAUUGUGAACUUACUUAUGUUGCCUCGGCGGGAAAACCUACCCUGCAGCUACCCUGUAGGUACACUUACCCUGUACUUACCCUGUAGACUGCCGCGGGUGAUACCGCCGAAGGACUAUUUCAAACUCUUGUUUCAAUGUGAGAACUCUGAGUUAUUAUACUUAAUAAGUUAAAACUUUCAACAACGGAUCUCUUGGCUCUGGCAUCGAUGAAGAACGCAGCGAAAUGCGAUAAGUAAUGUGAAUUGCAGAAUUCAGUGAAUCAUCGAAUCUUUGAACGCACAUUGCGCCCAUUAGUAUUCUAGUGGGCAUGCCUGUUCGAGCGUCAUUUUCAACCCUCAAGCCUAUUUUAGCUUGGUGUUGGGAGAUUUAAACUCUGCUCUUCCGUAGCGGUCUAAACUCCUUAAAUAUAUUGGCGAAGUCGUGUCGACCUCAAGCGUAGUAAUUAUUUUUCUCGUUUCGAGUGCGUCGGUGCUGACGUUUGGCCGUUAAACCUUCUAAUUUCUAAUGGUUGACCUCGGAUCAGGUAGGAAUACCCGCUGAACUUAAGCAUAUCAAUAAGCGGAGGAAAAGAAACCAACAGGGAUUGCCUCAGUAACG